rnacentral:rRNA from 1 species
UUGCACGCUGGCGGCAGGCCUAACACAUGCCAGUCGAGCGGAUGAAGGGAGCUUGCUCCUGGAUUCAGCGGCGGACGGGUGAGUAAUGCCUAGGAAUCUGCCUGGUAGUGGGGGAUAACGUCCGGAAACGGGCGCUAAUACCGCAUACGUCCUGAGGGAGAAAGUGGGGGAUCUUCGGACCUCACGCUAUCAGAUGAGCCUAGGUCGGAUUAGCUAGUUGGUGGGGUAAAGGCCUACCAAGGCGACGAUCCGUAACUGGUCUGAGAGGAUGAUCAGUCACACUGGAGCUGAGACACGGUCCAGACUCCUACGGGGGGCAGCAGUGGGGAAUAUUGGACAAUGGGCGAAAGCCUGAUCCAGCCAUGCCGCGUGUGUGAAGAAGGUCUUCGGAUUGUAAAGCACUUUAAGUUGGGAGGAAGGGCAGUAAGUUAAUACCUUGCUGUUUUGACGUUACCAACAGAAUAAGCACCGGCUAACUUCGUG